CACGUAGGGUGCGAGCGUUGUCCGGGAUUAUUGGGCGUAAAGAGCUCGUAGGCGGUGUGUCGCGUCGGCCGUGAAAACCUGCAGCUUAACUGUGGGCUUGCGGUCGAUACGGGCAUCACUGGAGUUCGGCAGGGGAGACUGGAAUUCCUGGUGUAGCGGUGAAAUGCGCAGAUAUCAGGAGGAACACCGGUGGCGAAGGCGGGUCUCUGGGCCGGUACUGACGCUGAGGUGCGAAAGCGUGGGGAGCAAACAGG
rnacentral:rRNA from 1 species